rnacentral:piRNA from 1 species
UAACAAGGCUGAUUUCCCAGUGUCGAUCA